UCGGGAAUUUUGGGCAAUGGGCGAAAGCCUGACCCAGCAACGCCGCGUGAAGGAUGAAGUAUUUCGGUAUGUAAACUUCGUAAGAAUAGGAAGAAUAAAUGACGGUACUAUUUGUAAGGUCCGGCUAACUACGUGCCAGCAGCCGCGGUAAUACGUAGGGACCAAGCGUUGUUCGGAUUUACUGGGCGUAAAGGGCGCGUAGGCGGUGUGUCAAGUCAGUUGUGAAAUCUCCGAGCUUAACUCGGAACGGUCAACUGAUACUGUCACACUAGAGUACAGAAGGGGCAAUCGGAAUUCUUGGUGUAGCGGUGAAAUGCGUAGAUAUCAAGAGGAACACCUGAGGUGAAGACGGGUUGCUGGGCUGACACUGACGCUGAGGCGCGAAAGCCAGGGGAGCAAACGGGAUUAGAUACCCUUGUAGUCCCUGAGCGGGC
rnacentral:rRNA from 1 species